ensembl:ncRNA F14F3.9 ncRNA
CUACUCAACAAGAAAGUCUAAUGAUAAUCAGCAGAAAGGCAACAGACUGAAAUGAG